AGUGGGGAAUAUUGGACAAUGGGCGAAAGCCUGAUCCAGCCAUGCCGCGUGUGUGAAGAAGGUCUUCGGAUUGUAAAGCACUUUAAGUUGGGAGGAAGGGCAGUAAGUUAAUACCUUGCUGUUUUGACGUUACCGACAGAAUAAGCACCGGCUAACUCUGUGCCAGCAGCCGCGGUAAUACGGAGGGUGCUAGCGUUAAUCGGAUUUACUGGGCGUAAAGCGUGCGUAGGCGGUUUGAUAAGUCGGUUGUGAAAGCCCCGGGCUCAACCUGGGAAUUGCGGCCGAUACUGUCAGACUAGAAAACGGUAGAGGGAGGCGGAACUCCAGGUGUAGCGGUGAAAUGCGUAGAUAUCUGGAAGAACACCGAUGGCG
rnacentral:rRNA from 1 species